UUUUGGGGUGACGGUAGGGGCAGAAGAAGCACCGGCUAACUACGUGCCAGCAGCCGCGGUAAUACGUAGGGUGCGAGCGUUGUCCGGAAUUAUUGGGCGUAAAGAGCUUGUAGGCGGUUUGUCGCGUCUGCUGUGAAAGCCCGGGGCUUAACUCCGGGUCUGCAGUGGGUACGGGCAGGCUAGAGUGUGGUAGGGGAGACUGGAAUUCCUGGUGUAGCGGUGGAAUGCGCAGAUAUCAGGAGGAACACCGAUGGCGAAGGCAGGUCUCUGGGCCAUGACUGACGCUGAGAAGCGAAAGCGUGGGGAGCGAACAGGAUUAGAUACCCUGGUAGUCCACGCCGUAAACGUUGGGCGCUAGGUGUGGGUCCCAUUCCACGGGGUCCGUGCCGCAGCUAACGCAUUAAGCGCCCCGCCUGGGGAGUACGGCCGCAAGGCUAAAACUCAAAGGAAUUGACGGGGGCCCGCACAAGCGGCGGAGCAUGCGGAUUAAUUCGAUGCAACGCGAAGAACCUUACCAAGGCUUGACAUACACCGGACGAUCGCAGAGAUGUGGUUUCCCUUUGUGGCUGGUGUACAGGUGGUGCAUGGUUGUCGUCAGCUCGUGUCGUGAGAUGUUGGGUUAAGUCCCGCAACGAGCGCAACCCUCGUUCCAUGUUGCCAGCAACACCUUUGGGUGGUUGGGGACUCAUGGGAGACUGCCGGGGUCAACUCGGAGGAAGGUGGGGAUGACGUCAAAUCAUCAUGCCCCUUACGUCUUGGGCUUCACGCAUGCUACAAUGGCCGGUACAAAGGGCUGCGAUCCCGUGAGGGGGAGCGAAUCCCAGAAAGCCGGUCUCAGUUCGGAUUGGGGUCUGCAACUCGACCCCAUGAAGUCGGAGUCGCUAGUAAUCGCAGAUCAGCAACGCUGCGGUGAAUACGUUCCCGGGCCUUGUACACACCGCCCGUCAAGUCACGAAAGUCGGUAACACCCGAAGCCGGUGGCCUAACCCCCUUGUGGGGAGGGAGCUGUCGAAGGUGGGACUGGUGAUUGGGACUAAGUCGUAACAAGGUAGCCGUACCGGAAGGUGCGGCUGGAUCACCUCCUUUCUAAGGA
rnacentral:rRNA from 1 species